AGGCACUGCCGAUAAAGUUUUGGAGAAGUGGCCCACCAGUCUCAAAUCCAAGGUUAUAAAGGAAAGCCAUGGCCUGGUACCCACCACUGAGCUUUUGGAUUUAUUGCGGAAUGCAGAGUUGGCUGCUGAAGCUGAGAACGGUUGGGAUAGUGACAUGUCUGCUAUUUUGCUUCUGCUGCAUCUGCUACCACCAUCUGCACAAGGACGAAAGAGGCCGGGUAAGAUGUCUGCAUCUCAAGCAGUGGAUCACCUCAUCAGAUUUCUAAAGGUUGGAACCAGUGUGCAGCAGCAUCUUGACAAAAUCACCCAACGUACCCAGCCCUACCUCCUUGGCCAGGGAUCCAUCCAAAGCAGUAUUCACCCAUUCUUCAUUGUGAUUGACAACUAUGCUAUUCCAUGUAAGGCAACAUGUUCAGUUGGAGCUCUUGAUGAGCUCUUUAAGACCCAUUAUGUGUUUGGUACGUCAUACAGUGCUCCCUUGACCAACUUAUUGAUUUAUUUAUUUAUUUGAAAUGCCUGUCUUUUACCAGAUCAAGUCUGUGUUCAUAGUUAAAGACAAAUUGUUGCUGCUUACAUUGCCUUUAUGUACAGUAUCUUUUUUAAUGAACAUUUUCAUGCUUAUGAAGUUACUAAAAUGAUGCAAGGUUUUGUUGUGUUUGAUGUCAACCAUCUAUGUUAUCCGAAGCCCUUUGACAUACAAAUGUCAUAUGAAGCAAAUGACACUGCUCUUUUUGUUUGUCCCGUAUUGCUAUCUUUGGUGAACAUUGUUUUGAAGAUGGUUAAACUGACACUGUUACAGUAAUUAUGUCACUGGAUCAUAAAGUUGAAUAAAUGUUGUCACUGUGAACUUAAAACUUUGUGUUUAUUGUGAUUGGUAGAUUUUAUAAAAGCCAUACAAUGCUAAAAUUUAGCAUUAUAUAGUAUA